rnacentral:rRNA from 1 species
CUACGGGCCGCUGCAGUGAGGAAUAUUGCACAAUGGGGGGAACCCUGAUGCAGCAACGCCGCGUGGAGGAUGACGCAUUUCGGUGUGUAAACUCCUUUUAUAUGUCAAGAAAAUGACGGUAGCAUAUGAAUAAGCACCGGCUAACUCCGUACCAGCAGCCGCGGUAAUACGGAGGGUGCAAGCGUUACUCGGAAUCACUGGGCGUAAAGGACGCGUAGGCGGGUUGGAAAGUCAGGUGUGAAAUCCUACAGCUUAACUGUAGAACUGCACUUGAAACUUCUAAUCUAGAGUAUGGGAGGGGGAGAUGGAAUUAGUGGUGUAGGGGUAAAAUCCGUAGAUAUCACUAGGAAUACCUAAAGCGAAGGCGAUCUCCUGGAACAUUACUGACGCUAAGGCGUGAAAGCGUGGGGAGCAAACAGGAUUAGAUACCCUUGUAAUC